rnacentral:pre_miRNA from 1 species
GUAGUACUCCCUCCGUCCCAAAAUUUUUGUCUUAGAUUUAUCUAAAUACGGAUGUAUCUAAUACUAAAAUGUGACUUGAUACUUCUGUAUUUAGACAAAUGUAAGACAAGAAUUUUGGGACGGAGGGAGUAUGUG